rnacentral:lncRNA from 1 species
AUCUGCAAAUGCCCCAACGACCACAGAAGUUCCUGGUAUCAGACACUACCAACAGGGAAAUGAAAGCACAAAUACAAACCUUUCCAAUAGGUCGAAAGCAAACAUAUUUCCAACGUCCGAAUGAGAUGUAUUGGGCCCCAAGCCCCUCCAACACUACGAAGACUGAAAAUCACCGAAGUACAAGUAGAUUACGUACCAGCCACAAAAAGGCAGUGAAUACUCCGUUAUAUAGGUACACAUCUGUGCCUUUGAGGUCCAGUAUAGUCAGGUACCUGUUAUCAUUGACGUUCUUGAAUCACAUAGCAGGCCUUCCAAUCAUUUUGAUAUUUGGAAAUCAAAAGUUUGAUACACACAGUUGGAGAAUUGGAAAUUUGAAUCCAGCACGAGAGGAUGUUUAAACGGCACAAAAAUGAUAAGGCGAUACCAGCGCAGGUUGAUGAAAGGUGUUGUACACUCCGACAAAAGAACAAUGUACAGAUACAAGUGAGCAUGCCCAGAGUGUACGGCUAAAAUCAACGCCAGCAUUGACACCAAAUGAUGCAGGAGCUGAAAACACAACAUACGUUACACAACUAUGUAAAUAAGUAGCAAAUAAGAUAAAAGAAAAGAAAAAAGAAAAAAGAAACACUCGCAACCAAAAAAUUAAAUGGAGGAAAAAUUAAAGGAAUAACAAACGCCAAAAUCACAUAAAAUCCAAUGCAAAACAUUCUGAUGCUCCCUCUCCGUAACAGAAAAAACUUACAAAUUCAUAGCCUCCUAAAGUUGGAUAGAAUGCAACUAUCAUUCCCAUGUCCGCGAUAAAAUAUCCGCAAGAAAACUAAUGAUGCAUACCACAACAAGUCAUUAAUUCUUAAGGAGAAAAUUCAAAUGCGAAUGAAGUGCAGAAAGCUGCAUGCAGGAAACAUCAAAUCUUCUCAGAGAAACGCUCAAUCAUCGAAGUCAUCAACGUGCAAAGCAAAAGAACGGACAACCUACCCCAAGACCAAAUUGGGAGAGGAUGGAGCUUCGGAACAUAACAGGUCCAUAAGGAGCAGAAUCUCGGAAAAUGUCGCUGACAUACAACAAGUAAAAUGCGAUAGCAGAUGAAACGAAAGCAUGAGCUGUUGAAAAAGCCCUGCAGAAACAUACAGAAGAGAUGAUCAACAAUUUGAACACUUAUUCGUUUUAGAGUAGUUGUAGCAUUUUCAAGAUUGCACAAGAAAUGAAUGAAACUCAACCUACACUCUACAAUGAAAUACAUAUGUGGCAUGAGAUAAAACAUAUAUGGCAUGAGAUAAAAACAUAUGUGGCAUUUCCACGGAAGCAUACCUUGUACAAGUAGCAAACGAGUGACUAAAACUAAAACAAAUUUGGAAAGACUCGACAACCUUAUAUUUUCAACUAACAGUUUUCAAUGCAUUAAUACAUGGAAAAGAAAACA